GGUGCGAGCGUUACCCGGAUUACCUGGGCUUAAAGGGCGUGUAGNCGGUCUUUCAAGUCCGAUGCUAAAGACUGGGGCUCAACCCCAGGGGUGCGUUGGAUACUGUGAGGCUAGACGGUCGGAGGGGGUAGCGGAAUUUCCGGAGUAGCGGUGAAAUGCGCAGAUACCGGAAGGAACGCCAAUAGCGAAGGCAGCUACCUGGACGACUUGUGACGCUGAGGCGCGAAAGCGUGGGGAGCAAACCGGAUUAGAUACCCGGGUAGUCCACGCCCUAAACCAUGAGUGCUGGGUGUCCGGCUUCUGCUGGGUGCCGUAGCUAACGCGCUAAGCACUCCGCCUGGGAAGUACGCACGCAAGUGUGAAACUCAAAGGAAUUGACGGGGGCCCGCACAAGCGGUGGAGCAUGUGGUUUAAUUCGAAGCGACGCGAAGAACCUUACCAGGCCUUGACAUGCCCGGAACCCCUCUGAAAGGAGGGGGUGCCCGCAAGGGAGCCGGGACACAGGUGCUGCAUGGCCGUCGUCAGCUCGUGUCGUGAGAUGUUGGGUUAAGUCCCGCAACGAGCGCAACCCCUAUCCCUAGUUGCCAGCAGUUCGGCUGGGCACUCUAUGGAGACUGCCUGCGAAAGCAGGAGGAAGGCGGGGAUGACGUCUGGUCCGCAUGGCCCUUACGGCCUGGGCGACACACGUGCUACAAUGCCAAGGACAGAGCGCUGCUACCUCGCGAGAGGACGCCAAUCGCAAAAACCUUGGCUCAGUUCGGAUUGGAGUCUGCAACUCGACUCCAUGAAGCCGGAAUCGC
rnacentral:rRNA from 1 species